GAUGAACGCUGGCGGCGUGCCUAAUACAUGCAAGUCGAGCGAACAGACGAGGAGCUUGCUCCUCUGACGUUAGCGGCGGACGGGUGAGUAACACGUGGAUAACCUACCUAUAAGACUGGGAUAACUUCGGGAAACCGGAGCUAAUACCGGAUAAUAUAUUGAACCGCAUGGUUCAAUAGUGAAAGACGGUUUUGCUGUCACUUAUAGAUGGAUCCGCGCCGCAUUAGCUAGUUGGUAAGGUAACGGCUUACCAAGGCAACGAUGCGUAGCCGACCUGAGAGGAUGAUCAGCCACACUGGAACUGAGACGCGGUCCAGACUCCUGCGGGAGGCAGCAGUAGGGAAUCUUCCGCAAUGGGCGAAAGCUUGACGGAGCAACGCCGCGUGGGUGAUGAAGGUCUUCGGAUCGUAAAACUCUGUUAUUAGGGAAGAACAAAUGUGUAAGUAACUAUGCACGUCUUGACGGUACCUAAUCAGAAAGCCACGGCUAACUACGUG
rnacentral:rRNA from 1 species